UUGUAGGACAAUCUGUCAUUAAGUAGGAAUAAAUUACUCUAAAAAAGAAUCCAAGUUAGUUUUCCCUUCAAUUUAACCAUGUUGU
rnacentral:pre_miRNA from 1 species